AAGUCGUAACAAGGUCUCCGUUGGUGAACCAGCGGAGGGAUCAUUACAGAGUUGCAAGACUCCCAAAACCAUUGCGAACGCUACCCUUAUCGUUGCUUCGGCGGGCGCAUCCCCCAAGCCCCCCAGCGGGCGCGGGUGGGAGGCACCGCCGGCGGCACCCCCAAAACUCUGAUUUUUACCACUGGGCCUCUCUGAGUAAAGCUGUAUCAAAUCAGUCAAAACUUUCAACAACGGAUCUCUUGGUUCUG
rnacentral:misc_RNA from 1 species